rnacentral:rRNA from 1 species
GUCGUACCAAGGUAUCCCUCCCGGAAGGUGGGGAUGGAUCACCUCCUUUCUA